rnacentral:snoRNA from 1 species
GCCCACUGAAAGUCACCCACGGCCUCGCCCGUGGCCACGGGUGAGACUUGGCGUCCAGAGGACAGGGGGCUUUAGCUCACCGCCCACUUCCGGUGUGGGGAGGUGAAACCCAUGCCCCGACAGCG